rnacentral:rRNA from 1 species
GAUGAACGCUGGCGGCGUGCUUAACACAUGCAAGUCGAACGAGAAGUGAAGACGGAAACCUUCGGGCGGAAGGCUUUAUUUCGAGUGGCGGACGGGUGAGUAACGCGUGGGUAACCUGCCUCAUACAGGGGGAUAACAGUUGGAAACGACUGUUAAUACCGCAUAAGACCACAGCACCGCAUGGUGCGGGGGUAAAAACUCCGGUGGUAUGAGAUGGACCCGCGUUCGAUUAGCCAGUUGGCGGGGUAACGGCCCACCAAAGCGACGAUCGAUAGCCGAUCUGAGAGGAUGACCGGCCACAUUGGGAAUGAGACACGGCCCAAACUCCUACGGGAGGCAGCAGUGGGGAAUAUUGCACAAUGGGGGAAACCCUGAUGCAGCGACGCCGCGUGAGUGAAGAAGUAUUUCGGUAUGUAAAGCUCUAUCAGCAGGGAAGAAAAUGACGGUACCUGAGGAAGAAGCCCCGGCUAACUACGUG